rnacentral:rRNA from 1 species
CCCCUAGACGUUCUGGGCUGCACGCGCGCUACAAUAAUACGCACAGCGAGUAUCACCGAGCUCGAAAGGGCAAGGUAAACAAUAGAAAAGGUACUGUAAUGGUUAUAGAUCCUUGUAAUUAUUGAUCUUCAACGAGGAAUUCCUAGUAAGUAUGUGUCAUCAUCACGCACUGAUUACGUCCCUGCCCUUGUACACACCGCCCGUCGCUCCUACCGAUUGGGUGAGCCGAUGAAACUCUCGGAUGUAGGCUAUUCAUAGCCCGCAGAAGAGAUUUGAAUCGUAGCGCUUAGAGGAAGGAGAAGUCGUAACA